CAGUCGAGGGGCAGCAUCAUCAAAGCUUGCUUUGAUGGAUGGCGACCGGCGCACGGGUGAGUAACACGUAUCCAACCUGCCGACAACACUGGGAUAGCCUUUCGAAAGAAAGAUUAAUACCGGAUGGCAUAGUUUUCCCGCAUGGGAUAAUUAUUAAAGAAUUUCGGUUGUCGAUGGGGAUGCGUUCCAUUAGGCAGUUGGCGGGGUAACGGCCCACCAAACCAACGAUGGAUAGGAGUUCUGAGAGGAAGGUCCCCCACAUUGGAACUGAGACACGGUCCAAACUCCUACGGGAGGCAGCAGUGAGGAAUAUUGGUCAAUGGACGAGAGUCUGAACCAGCCAAGUAGCGUGAAGGAUGACUGCCCUAUGGGUUGUAAACUUCUUUUAUACGGGAAUAGAGUUAGCCACGUGUGGCUUUUUGUAUGUACCGUAUGAAUAAGGAUCGGCUAACUCCGUGCCAGCAGCCGCGGUAAUACGGAGGAUCCGAGCGUUAUCCGGAUUUAUUGGGUUUAAAGGGAGCGUAGGCGGGUUGUUAAGUCAGUUGUGAAAGUUUGCGGCUCAACCGUAAAAUUGCAGUUGAUACUGGCGACCUUGAGUGCAACAGAGGUAGGCGGAAUUCGUGGUGUAGCGGUGAAAUGCUUAGAUAUCACGAAGAACUCCGAUUGCGAAGGCAGCUUACUGGAUUGUAACUGACGCUGAUGCUCGAAAGUGUGGGUAUCAAACAGGAUUAGAUACCCUGGUAGUCCACACAGUAAACGAUGAAUACUCGCUGUUGGCGAUAUACAGUCAGCGGCCAAGCGAAAGCAUUA
rnacentral:rRNA from 1 species